AGUGAACGCUGGCGGCGUGCUUAACACAUGCAAGUCGAACGGGAUGUUUUGCUGUCGCAAGACAGUAAAACAUCGAGUGGCAAACGGGUGAGUAAUACGUAGGAAACCUUCCCUCAAGAAGAGGAUAACCUAUCGAAAGAUGGGCUAAUACUCUGUAAGACCACAGGGGCCUUAAGGUCCCAGAGGUUAAAGAUGGCGCAAGUCAUCGCUUAAGGAUGGUCCUGCGUCCUAUCAGCUAGUUGGCGAGGUAAUGGCUCACCAAGGCGACGACGGGUAGCCGGCCUAAAAGGGCGACCGGCCACACUGGCACUGAGACACGGGCCAGACUCCUACGGGAGGCAGCAGUGGGGAAUUUUGGACAAUGGGGGAAACCCUGAUCCAGCGACGCCGCGUGGAGGAUGAAGGUCUUCGGAUUGUAAACUCCUUUUGGAGGGGACGAAACAGCCGUUUAAUACACGGCUCUGACGGUACUCUCAGAAAAAGCCACGGCUAACUACGUGC
rnacentral:rRNA from 1 species